CAGCCUUCACAUCCUCUUCAUCAUCAUCAUUAAGACAUCCCCCAGCACCAGCCUUCACAUCCCCCAGCACCAGCCUCAUCAUCAUCAUCAUCAUCAUCAUGAAGACAUCCCCCCAGCACCAGCCUUCACAUCCUCUUCAUCAUCAUCAUUAAGACAUCCCCCCAGCCUUCACAUCCUCUUCAUCAUCAUCAUCAUCAUUAAGACAUCCCCCAGCACCAGCCUUCACAUCCUCUUCAUCAUAACCAUUCAGACAUCCCCCCAGCACCAGUCUUCACAUCCUCUUCAUCAUCAUCAUUAAGACAUCCCCCCACCCAGACUUCACAUCCUCUUCAUCAUCAUCAUUAAGACACCCCCAGCACCAGCCUUCACAUCCUCUUCAUCAUCAUCAUCAUCAUCAAGACAUCCCCCCAGCACCAGCCUUCACAUCCUCUUCAUCAUCAUCAUUAAGACAUCCCCCACCCAGCACCAGCCUUCACAUCCUCUUCAUCAUCAUCAUUAUGACAUCCCCCAGCACCAGCUUUCACAUCCUCUUCAUCAUCAUCAUUAAGACACCCCCCCAGCACCAGCCUUCACAUCAUCAUCAUCAUUAAGACAUCCCCCCCAGCACCAGCCUUCACAUCCUCUUCAUCAUCAUGACGUGAUAUAAGGAGCUAUGACGUGUUAUAAGGAGAAGCUAUGAUGUGUUAUAAGGAGAAGCUAUGAUGUGUUAUAAGGACAAGCUAUGAUGUGUUAUAAGGAGGAGCUAUGAUGUGUUAUAAGGAGAAGCUAUGAUGUGUUAUAAGGAGAAGCUAUGAUGUGUUAUAAGGAGAAGCUAUGACGUGUUAUAAGCUAUGACGUGUUAUAAGGAGAAGCUAUGAUGUGUUAUUAGGAGCUAUGACGUGUUAUAAGGAGAAGCUAUGAUGUGUUAUUAGGAGGAGCUAUGAUGUGUUAUAAGGAGAAGCUAUGAUGUGUUAUAAGGAGAAGCUAUGAUGUGUUAUAAGGAGAAGCUAUGAUGUGUUAUAAUGAGAAGCUAUGACGUGUUAUAAGGAGAAGCUAUGAUGUGUUAUUAGGAGCUAUGGCGUGUUAUAAGGAGCUAUGAUGUGUUAUAAUGAGAAGCUAUGACGUGUUAUAAGGAGAAGCUAUGAUGUGUUAUAAGGAGCUAUGAUGUGUUAUAAUGAGAAGCUAUGACGUGUUAUAAGGAGCUAUGAUGUGUUAUAAGGAGCUAUGACGUGUUAUAAGAAGCUAUGACGUGUUAAGCUAUGAUAGGUUAUAACACAUGACGUGUUUUAAGAAGCUACGAUGUGUUAUAAGGAGCUAUGAUGUGUUAUAACCUGUGUUAUAAGAAGCUAUGAUGUGUUAUAAGGAGCUAUGAUGUGUUAUAAGAAGCUAUGAUGUGUUAUAAGAAGCUAUGAUGUGUUAUAACGUGUUAUAAGAAGCUGUGGUGUGUUAUAACGUGUUAUAAGGAGCUAUGACGUGUUAUAAGGAGCUAUGAUGUGUUAUAAGAAGCUAUGACGUGUUAUAACGUGUUAUAAGAAGCUAUGACGUGUUAUAAGGAGCUAUGACGUGUUAUAAGAAGCUAUGACGUGUUAUAAGGAGCUAUGACGUGUUAAGCUAUGAUAGGUUAUAACACAUGACGUGUUUUAAGAAGCUACGAUGUGUUAUAAGGAGCUAUGAUGUGUUAUAAGAAGCUAUGAUGUGUUAUAAGAAGCUAUGAUGAGCUAUGACGUGUUAUAAGGAGCUAUGACGUGUUAUAAGGAGCUAUGAUGUGUUAUAAGAAGCUAUGAUGUGUUAUAACGUGUUAUAAGAAGCUAUGAGGUGUUAUAACGAGCUAUGAUGUGUUAUAACGUGUUAUAAGGAGCUAUGACGUGUUAUAACGUGUUAUAAGGAGCUAUGACGUGUUAUAACGUGUUAUAAGGAACUAUGACGUGUUAUAACGUGUUAUAAGGAGCUAUGACGUGUUAUAACGUGUUAUAAGGAGCUAUGACGUGUUAUAACGUGUUAUAAGGAGCUAUGACGUGUUAUAACGUGUUAUAAGGAGCUAUGACGUGUUUUAAGGAGCUACGACGUGUUAUAAGAAGCUAUAAGCGUUCAUACACUGGUUCAUAUUCCAAUGCAUAUUUAAUAAACCAUCG
ensembl:lncRNA